rnacentral:tRNA from 1 species
GCACCCAUAGGAUAAUGGAUAAACCGUUGGCCUCCGGAGCCGGAGAUGUGGGUUCGAUUCCCACUGGGUGUACCA